GUCUACGGCCAUGCCACCCUGAACAAGCCCGAUUUUGUCUGAUCUCAGAAGCUAAGCAGAGUUGGGCCUGGUUAGUAUUUGUGUGGGAGACUACUUAGGAAGACUAGGUGCUGUAGGCG
rnacentral:rRNA from 1 species